AUUGUCUAGAGACAGGUUAAAUGAAAUGUGUUUUUCUGUGUAUGUCUUACCUUUUGCAUCAUGAUUCUUUGAAGGUAUCCUGUGGAUACAGGGUCUCGAAGAGCGAUGAUUUACCGUUGGCCUGUUGAGAACUAAGAGUUGGGCGAGUGGCCUUCUUUAGAGCUAAUUGUGUCGGUGUGAUAAAUGAUUCGUAUUGCUUUAUAUCUAGUUUGCCAAGGGGUGUUGUCGGCUAUAGCUCUAUUGUUAUGGUAUGAUGGAGUGGAUAAGAGAAGAUAUCUUUGUUUGAAGUUUGUGGGGUUGGAAGUACCGGUGUGAGUUUUGAUGAUGAGUGCUGGAGGUUAGUGGUCUGGCUUUAUCGUCAGGUUUGUGGUCCGAUGCAUUCCUCGCCUGAUUUGUGGGAUUAUUUGUCGGUUUGUUGACUUUGGCUUUUUAUGGUGUUGGUCAUAUCAAUUGUAGUGUUGGUUGUUGAUUAUUUACUAGGAGUCGGUUGUUGGGAGUCGGGAAUAAUGUCGGGGGCAAGUUGGGUGUGAAUAAGGAUGUGUUGGCGGGUAGAAACGUAGUUGCGUGUUAUAACGUGAUAGGCAAUGGAGUUGAUGUUCUUUAUUUGGGUCCUUGGUAUUUGUAACUGAUUGGUUGGUUAGUAUGAAGGAAUGAGUAGUUUGAUUGGUCCUUUUCUUUCUCGGAAAUUGUCGGACUGUUUAGUAAAAACAUUUUCAUCAGUUGAAGCAUUGAUGAUAUGACCUGCCCGAUGUCUGUAUGGAUGAAUGGCCGCAGUACUCUGACUGUGCUAAGGUAGCAUAAUUAAUUGCCUUAUAAUUGAGGGAUUGUUUGAAUGGUUCAACCAGAUAAUUUUUCUAGUUGAGGGCCUAUUGUCGAAAUUGGUUGGUUGGUGCAGAACCCAACGGAGGUUAAUAAGACGGAAAGACCCCGAGAGCUUUAUAGUUUUACUAUUUAUCUGGGAAAGAGGCAUAUAUUUUAUGUGUUUUACGAUCCUUCAUGAGAAGAUUAAAGGUUGAAGUUACCUCGGGGAUAACUAGGUAAUGGGUGAGGAGAGGUCUUAUCGAUUCACUCGUUUGCUAUCUCGAUGUUGACUUGGGGUUACGACAGUGGUGUAGAGGCUUCUGUGUUCGGUCUGUUCGACCUGUAUACCCCCCAUGAGUUGAGUUAAGACCGGUGUAAGCCAGGUCGGUUCUUAUCUAUUGGUGUCAUGGGCUCGUACGAAAGGAUCGUUCAUGAUUUAGGUU
rnacentral:rRNA from 1 species